AUUGAACGCUGGCGGCAUGCUUUACACAUGCAAGUCGAACGGUAACAGGGUGCUUGCACCGCUGACGAGUGGCGAACGGGUGAGCAAUACAUCGGAAUGUACCCAGUAAUGGGGGAUAACGCUUCGAAAGGAGUGCUAAUACCGCAUACGCCCUGAGGGGGAAAGUGGGGGACCGCAAGGCCUCACGUUAUUGGAGCAGCCGAUGGCUGAUUAGCUAGUUGGUGAGGUAAAGGCUCACCAAGGCGACGAUCAGUAGCGGGUCUUAGAGGACGAUCCGCCACACUGGAACUGAGACUCGGUCCAGACUCCUACGGGAGGCAGCAGUGGGGAAUCUUGGACAAUGGGCGAAAGCCUGAUCCAGCAAUGCCGCGUGCGUGAAGAAGGCCUUCGGGUUGUAAAGCGCUUUUGUCUGGGAGCAAAUCCUGGCCUCUAAUACAGGUCGGGGAUGAGAGUACCAGAAGAAUAAGGACCGGCUAACUACGUGCCAGCCGCCGCGGUAA
rnacentral:rRNA from 1 species